rnacentral:misc_RNA from 1 species
CCAAUAGCGUAUAUUAAAGUUGCUGCAGUUAAAAAGCUCGUAGUUGAAUUUCUGGACUAAUAUGUCGGUCGUGCCUCGGUACGUACUGGUAUUUUUGGUUUCUCCCUUCUGACGAACCUUGAUGUCAUUAAUUUGGUGUCUUGGGAAAUCAGGACUGUUACUUUGAAAAAAUUAGAGUGUUUAAAGCAGGCUCACGCUUGAAUACAUUAGCAUGGAAUAAUGAAAUAGGACGUUUGAUUCUAUUUUGUUGGUUUCUAGGAUCGACGUAAUGAUUAAUAGGGAUAGUUGGGGGCAUUAGUAUUCAAUUGUCAGAGGUGAAAUUCUUGGAUUUAUUGAAGACUAACUACUGCGAAAGCAUUUGCCAAGGAUGUUUUCAUUAAUCAAGAACGAAAGUUAGGGGAUCGAAGACGAUCAGAUACCGUCGUAGUCUUAACCAUAAACUAUGCCGACUAGGGAUCGGAUGAUGUUAAUUUUUUAAUGACUCAUUCGGCGCCUUACG